GACUGGUUUAUACUGCUCUUUAUCACAGUGAAAUGUAAGAACAAUACUUAUAUUCCAAUGGAUUCAUUUUAUAAUUAUAUGGUAAAAAUGAGAAAGUGAGCAAUUUUUCAGUAAUAGUGUGCUGUGAGGCUUUUGUAUUUAUGUCUGAUUUUGCUUGCAGGUAGUUUUAUAGUGAGGUGAU